UACGUAGGGUGCAAGCGUUAAUCGGAAUUACUGGGCGUAAAGCGUGCGCAGGCGGCUUUGCAAGACAGAUGUGAAAUCCCCGGGCUUAACCUGGGAACUGCAUUUGUGACUGCAUGGCUGGAGUGCGGCAGAGGGGGAUGGAAUUCCGCGUGUAGCAGUGAAAUGCGUAGAUAUGCGGAGGAACACCGAUGGCGAAGGCGAUCCCCUGGGCCUGCACUGACGCUCAGGCACGAAAGCGUGGGGAGCAAACAGG
rnacentral:rRNA from 1 species